rnacentral:tRNA from 1 species
UCGCCACGUGGAGCGGCUUCGGCCUCGUCGCGCAUGGCCUGCACGGGCUGCUGCUGGCCGGUGUCGCGCGGGUGCCGGCGCUUGCGUGGCGUG